GUCUGAAAGAUGAAAUACGGACCAUUAUUUCAUGAAAUAGAUACUCGUUUUAAAUAUCCAUUCAGUCACGUUUCUACGCAAUGUUUUAGAGUUUUUGUAUGCAGAAAUGAAAGCCAGGAUAUUAACCUCAUCGGUUUUGACGUUCAAAAAUCAAAACUUGUAACGGAAGUGUGUAGCUCAGCAGUUCGUAGUGAAAACGGAAAAAAAUUCACGCUCUUUGACAAAAGUUUCAAGAAUUUUAUUUCGAUUUUACGUGUUGUAUCAUAAAUAUGUAUUUCUUGAACGAUAGAUUAUUUGAAAACUGUGGUUUUUCGUAAUUGUUUGUCACAAAAGUCAAAUAAUGGAAACAACUUCGCAAUAAUGGACAAAUCAUGCAGCCAGUUCUAGGAGACGCGGGCGGAGGACGGGAAACUAAAGUCUAAUUUGGAGUGGCC